UGGCUCAGGAUGAACGCUAGCGACAGGCCUAACACAUGCAAGUCGAGGGGCAUCGGGGCGAGGAGCAAUCCUUGCCGCCGGCGACCGGCGCACGGGUGAGUAACGCGUAUGCGACCUGCCCGUUGCAGGGGGAUAAUCGGGAGAAAUCCCGUCUAAUACCGCGUAAUGCCGCGGGGCUGCAUGGCCCUGCGGCCAAAGGGAGCGAUUCCGGCAACGGAUGGGCAUGCGUGACAUUAGCUAGUUGGCGGGGCAACGGCCCACCAAGGCGACGAUGUCUAGGGGUUCUGAGAGGAAGGUCCCCCACACUGGUACUGAGACACGGACCAGACUCCUACGGGAGGCAGCAGUGAGGAAUAUUGGUCAAUGGGCGCGAGCCUGAACCAGCCAAGUCGCGUGAGGGAUGACGGCCCUACGGGUUGUAAACCUCUUUUGUCGGGGAGCAAAUUCCGCCACGUGUGGCGGAGUCGAGAGUACCCGAAGAAAAAGCAUCGGCUAACUCCGUGCCAGCAGCCGCGGUAAUACGGAGGAUGCGAGCGUUAUCCGGAUUUAUUGGGUUUAAAGGGUGCGUAGGCGGACUGUCAAGUCAGCGGUAAAAUACGGGGGCUCAACCUCCGCCCGCCGUUGAAACUGACGGUCUUGAGUGGGCGAGAAGUAUGCGGAAUGCGUGGUGUAGCGGUGAAAUGCAUAGAUAUCACGCAGAACUCCGAUUGCGAAGGCAGCAUACCGGCGCCCGACUGACGCUGAAGCACGAAAGCGUGGGUAUCGAACAGGAUUAGAUACCCUGGUAGUCCACGCAGUAAACGAUGAAUACUAGCUGUCCGGGGCGAAUGAGCCCUGGGUGGCACAGCGAAAGCGUUAAGUAUUCCACCUGGGGAGUACGCCGGCAACGGUGAAACUCAAAGGAAUUGACGGGGGCCCGCACAAGCGGAGGAACAUGUGGUUUAAUUCGAUGAUACGCGAGGAACCUUACCCGGGCUCAAACGACACAGGAACGUACCUGAAAGGGUUCGGCUCUACGGAGCCUGUGUCGAGGUGCUGCAUGGUUGUCGUCAGCUCGUGCCGUGAGGUGUCGGCUUAAGUGCCAUAACGAGCGCAACCCCCAUCGACAGUUGCUAACAGGUCAGGCUGAGGACUCUGUCGAGACUGCCGGCGCAAGCUGCGAGGAAGGCGGGGAUGACGUCAAAUCAGCACGGCCCUUACGUCCGGGGCGACACACGUGUUACAAUGGCAGGUACAGCGGGAAGCCACCUGGCGACAGGGAGCGGAACCCGAAAGCCUGUCUCAGUUCGGAUUGGAGUCUGCGACCCGACUCCAUGAAGCUGGAUUCGCUAGUAAUCGCGCAUCAGCCACGGCGCGGUGAAUACGUUCCCGGGCCUUGUACACACCGCCCGUCAAGCCAUGGAAGCCGGGGGUGCCUGAAGUGCGCUGCCGCGAGGAGCGCCCUAGGGUAAAACCGGUGACUGGGGCUAAGUCGUAACAAGGUAGCCGU
rnacentral:rRNA from 1 species